GAAGUAGUUGCCGCGUCUCUCUCCAUGCGCCGGCUCCUGGCAACUGGCGAGAGGGAGGGAGCGAGUCGGCAGCCUGCGAGACCCGCCGGCGCGGGAGCGGCCACUGGCCGCCACGAUGCUGAGGGGGGCAGUGGAGGGGCAGGUCACCGCGGUCACCAGAGCCCUGUCGGCGGCUUCUGUUCUCUGUCAAGUUGAACCUGUAGGAAGAUGGUUUGAAGCAUUUAUUAAGAGGAGAAACAUAAAUGUUUCUGCCUCUUUCCAGGAACUGGAGGAUGAGAAAGAGCUCAGUGAAGAGUCAGGGGAUGAAGAAUUGCAGCUUGAGGAAUUUCCUAUGUUAAAAACACUUGAUCCAAAGGACUGGAAGAAUCAGGAUCACUAUGCUGUUCUUGGACUGGGACAUGUAAGAUACAGGGCCGCUCAGAAACAAAUCAAAGCAGCUCAUAAAGCCAUGGUUUUGAAACAUCACCCAGACAAGCGGAAAGCUGCAGGAGAGCAGAUAGGUGAAGGUGACAAUGACUAUUUUACUUGCAUAACUAAAGCUUAUGAAAUUUUGUCUGAUCCUGUGAAGAGACGAGCAUUUAACAGCAUAGAUCCUACUUUUGAUAACUCUGUACCUUCGAAAAGUGAAGCAAAGGAAAAUUUCUUUGAAGUGUUUUCACCUGUUUUUGAAAGGAAUGCCAGAUGGUCAAAUAAGAAAAAUGUUCCUAAACUGGGAGACAUGAACUCUUCAUUUGAAGAUGUGGAUGCAUUUUAUUCAUUCUGGUAUAAUUUUGAUUCUUGGAGAGAAUUUUCUUAUUUAGAUGAAGAAGAAAAAGAAAAAGCAGAAUGUCGCGAUGAAAGGAGGUGGAUAGAGAAACAGAAUAGAGCAGCCAGAGCACUGAGGAAAAAAGAAGAGAUGAACAGGAUAAGGACAUUAGUUGACAAUGCAUACAGCUGUGAUCCUAGAAUAAAAAAAUUCAAGGACGAAGAAAAGGCGAAGAAGGAAGCAGAGAAGAAAGCAAAAGUAGAAGCAAAACGAAAAGAACACGAAGAAAAAGAAAGACAAAGACAAGCAGAAUUGGAAGCAGCACGGUUGGCUAAGGAGAAGGAAGAGGAAGAAGUUAGACAACAAGCACUGCUGGCAAAAAAAGAAAAAGAUAUACAGAAAAAAGCAAUUAAGAAGGAAAGGCAAAAAUUGAGAACAACAUGCAAGAACUGGAAUUACUUUUCUGAUAAUGAGGCAGAGUGUGUUAAAAUGAUGGAAGAUGUGGAAAAACUUUGUGAUCGUCUUGAACUAGCAAGUCUGCAAUGCUUGAAUGAAGCACUUACAUCCACAACAAUGGAAGGCGGAAAGGCUGCUGUAGAAAAGCAGAUAGAAGAAAUAAAUGAACAGAUCAAGCGAGAAAGAGAAGAAGCAGAGGCUCGUUUGCGCCAGGCCACAAAGAGUUCAGAGAAGUCAACGAGUGGUAGUGGAGGUGGAAGUAAAAACUGGUCAGAAGAUGAUUUACAGUUAUUGAUUAAAGCUGUGAACCUCUUCCCUGCCGGGACUAACUCAAGGUGGGAAGUUAUUGCCAAUUAUAUGAACUUGCAUUCUACUACUGGAAUAAAACGAACAGCAAAAGAUGUCAUCAAUAAAGCAAAGAGCCUCCAGAAAUUUGGUAUCUUUAUUAUCUUUACCCACAUCAAAAGGACGACAUAAACAAGAAAGCCUUUGAUAAGUUUAAAAAAGAACAUGGCGUGGUACCUCAGACAGACAGUGCUGCACCGUCAGAGCGAUUUGAAGAUCCUUCUCAUUUCCCCAGAAGCAACCCCAGCCAAUAAAGCCACACUGUCAGGAACUGUGGGGUUCAGGAGAUCCACUACAGGGGCAGAGCAGGUAUGGGCCCUUUCCAAAGAUGAACUUGGCUUGCACAGAACUCCAGUAUCUGCCCUGGGCACUUCCUUCCCUAGCGGCAUAUUCCUAGGAGGAGAUAAUUUGCUUCCUUACUGAAAUGAAAAAGGAAGCAAAUAGAGGCUUCUCCAGUUGUUCAGACACAAGUUUCCUGGGAAUAUCAAUUUCUUAGCAACAUUCUCACUUACUCAUCCCACUGCAGGAACAAAAUUUUUAUGAGAGGGGUUUUGAACUAACUAUUUAAUAUUUCAUCACUAUUCUCAUUUAUCAAUUUUUUUAA